rnacentral:lncRNA from 1 species
UAUUGGGACCAGGUCCCGUAACAGCCUGCCUGCUUACCGUCUGCUCCCAUCCCUGGGGAAAGCAAGGGAGCUCGGGGUCCUAGGACCUGACCUCAGCGCUCACCCCCACCAGCACCACAGUCACCAGGACUCUGUGACUCAGUUUACCCCACGAGAGCCCCUGGGAUUCCCAGGGCAUCAGAAGGCCCAUCAGCCUCCCGUGAACUGCUGGGGUGGGCCUGGCCUUGGGACGCGGGUGCAGGGGCCUCUCCUCACUGCCCCAUGGCACCCACAGCCAGUGCCAGAGCCUGCUGCAGCCCCGACCCGGCAGAGCAAGCGGCUCUGCUACCUCAGCCACGUAGCUGAUGGCAUCCUUCAGGUUCAGCUCGUGGAAGACAUUCAGGAUCCGGUCUCGAGACUUCUGGGCCGACCGUCUCAUGAGGACCCUGCUGAGGAACUUCCUGUCGAAGUGGGACCACCUGUAGGGACAGACCUUGGGUGUGAGCCUCAGGUGACAGGCGCCCUAGAGCCCGCCGGACGCGUGGCCCGGCCCCUUCUCUCCUGAAUUUUGUUUGCUAUAGUGACCCUGUAGGCGCGUUUAAAAUGAGGGAAGCAGCCCCUGCCACACGCCCAGGCCGUCCGCCGUUCUCCCGCCUGUCCUGUUGGAUGGAGGCCGUUAGACGCAUAUGAAACUGCAUGCCGCCUCCUCCAGAGGGUGGCUCAGGACACGCCUAACGGAAUUAGAGUAUUCGCUGGUUAUCCAGAUCAGAAGGGACGGUGGCCUGGCCGGACUUAGAGGAAACUCUGGGGCACAAGGAGGUGAUGCCUGUCACUUGGACAUGGGUGCAGCCGCCAGAGCCGCCCUCCAGGGCACAGGGUGGGCCCGGGUGAGCUUGUGUGCUCACACCUGGGCAGGCCCCGCGGCAGCAAUGGCAGCUCUCCUGUACAGGCUGAGUUUCAGCCACACCAAG